rnacentral:lncRNA from 1 species
AAAUAUUUUAUGUUUAUAUUUCAUAAAAUUUGGGAAAAAUUUCACUAUAAAAAUAAUUUUAUUCUGAAAUUUUUUUUUUUUCAAAAAAAAAAUAUUUUUUCAGAAUUUUUUUAUUUUGGAAAACAAUAAUUUUUUAUUUUUCUGAAAAAAAAAUUAUUUCAAAUUAAAUUAUAUUUUUUUAAUGAAUAAAAAAAAUUAUUUUCAGAAAAAAAUUAUUUUUUAUUUUAUGGAAUACAAAAUAUUUUAUUUUCAGAUUUUUUUCUAAAAAAACUAUAUUUUUUUCUAAAAAAACUAUAUUUUUUUUUAUAAUUUUAUUUUUAAUUUUUAAUAAAAUAUUUUUAAUUUUUCAUAAUUAUAAAUAUUUUUAAUUUCUAUUUUUUUUCACUCUCAAUAAUUUUUCCUUUUUUUAUUAAAAAAAUUAUAACUAAAGCAGUUUAUAAAAGAAAACUAGUUAUGAACCGGUUUUAAACUGAAUUAUAAUUGGUUAAUUUAAAUGGUUCAGUUCAUUAACCAUUCAAGUGGUUUAGUUAUUUUAUGGUGCAAUGCAAUUCAGUUUAGACAUGUAAUUUGGUUAACCAUAUUUUUGCACACCCCUA